UGCUGUGGAUGAUGAGAAAUAAAAAUUUUACAGUUAUCCCUGGCUGAUUUUGCUGGUGCUGAAGAUUUGUAAUCUGACGCGCAC